AAACCAACCGGGAUUGCCUUAGUAACGGCGAGUGAAGCGGCAAAAGCUCAAAUUUGAAAUCUAGUACCUUCGGUGCUCGAGUUGUAAUUUGUAGAGGGAUACUUUGGGGCCGUUCCUUGUCUAUGUUCCUUGGAACAGGACGUCAUAGAGGGUGAGAAUCCCGUGUGGCGAGGAGUGCGGUUCUAUGUAAAGUGCCUUCGAAGAGUCGAGUUGUUUGGGAAUGCAGCUCUAAGUGGGUGGUAAAUUCCAUCUAAAGCUAAAUAUUGGCGAGAGACCGAUAGCGAACAAGUACAGUGAUGGAAAGAUGAAAAGAACUUUGAAAAGAGAGUGAAAAAGUACGUGAAAUUGUUGAAAGGGAAGGGCAUUUGAUCAGACAUGGUGUUUUGCGCCCUCUGCUCCUUGUGGGUGGGGGACUCUCGCAGCUCACUGGGCCAACAUCAGUUUUGGUGGUCGGACAAAUCCGUAGGAAUGUAGCUUACCUCGGUAAGUGUUAUAGCCUGCGGGAAUACGGCCAGCCGGGACUGAGGACUGCGACUUUUGUCAAGGAUGUUGGCAUAAUGGUUAUAUGCCGCCCGUCUUGAACCACGGACCA
rnacentral:rRNA from 1 species